UGAGGAAUAUUGGUCAAUGGGCGCAAGCCUGAACCAGCCAUGCCGCGUGCAGGAUGACGGUCCUAUGGAUUGUAAACUGCUUUUGUACAGGAAGAAACAUCUCUACGUGUAGAGACUUGACGGUACUGUAAGAAUAAGGAUCGGCUAACUCCGUGCCAGCAGCCGCGGUAAUACGGAGGAUCCAAGCGUUAUCCGGAAUCAUUGGGUUUAAAGGGUCCGUAGGCGGUUUUGUAAGUCAGUGGUGAAAGCCCAUCGCUCAACGGUGGAACGGCCAUUGAUACUGCAAGACUUGAAUUACUAGGAAGUAACUAGAAUAUGUAGUGUAGCGGUGAAAUGCUUAGAUAUUACAUGGAAUACCAAUUGCGAAGGCAGGUUACUACUAGUGGAUUGACGCUGAUGGACGAAAGCGUGGGGAGCGAACAGGAUUAGAUACCCUGGUAGUCACGCCGUAAACGAUGGAUACUAGCUGUUCGGAGCAAU
rnacentral:rRNA from 1 species